GCCCCGGUAGCCCAACUGGCAGAGGCAUCCGACUCAAACUCGGAGUGUUGCGGGUUCGACUCCCGCCCGGGGUACCC
rnacentral:tRNA from 1 species